rnacentral:misc_RNA from 1 species
AAUUACGCGAGAUCAACGUGUUGAAUGAUGUGCAGUAGUAGGAGCAGCAAUAUCUAAAUUUCCAUGCCGAGGGCGAGGCACUUCCGUGUUCCAUCCCUGUUUCCAAAAUCCAAACCCAUCUCAAGUGCUCUGAAAAAUUGACAAAAAGUUGAACAAUUUCAAACCAAAGUUGUCCAAGUUCCCAUUAAUUUCAUCUUGUUUAGCAGCAAUUUUGGACAUGAAUAUUAAUUAUCCUUGUUAAAUGCCCUCAUAAUUUCUAACAAUGUUUUAAGAUUAUGGCUCUGUUGCAUUGCACUCAAAUACAAUGCAACUUCAAUUUUUGCACAAAAUGGUAUCUCAGAAGCCAAACUAGUACAACCAGAAAUGGCAUUAGCAACACAUGGCAGAAGCUAUAACCAGUGAUGUGUUUCACGACUCUAAAAAAUAGACCCAAGUGUCCAAGGGAAAAAGAUUUGUCUCAAAGGAAGACACCUUAGGUAUUACAUAUAUCAGUAAGAUGAUAACUGAACUUGAAUUGGAAAGGGAGAAGAAUUCCUAAUUACAACAGUCAAUCUAGGUACUAGGUAGACAUCAUGACCUGAUCACUCGACUGUAGUGCUUGAGUAGCAAAGAAUCUGACAUCAACAUCUGGAUCCUCGCUCAUCUCAACCAAACAUGGACGAAUUGUCUUCUCCACCACCGACUGAUCAACUAUGGGAAUAAGUGACUGCAACACCUUAGCCACAUUGAAUUUGAUAUUGGGUACCCUAUCUUUUGAUGCACUGACGACAACAGGAAGAAGUGUGGAACAAGUAAUUUCUGAGCCCAUAACAGGAGCAAGGAGUGAGACAGCACGUAAAAUAGUCAUCCGGUACAAAUAGUGAGGAUUGUUAAUCAUCUCCAAGACCUGCAUGGGUUGUAACUUUAGAACAAAAUAGGCAGGUAGAAAAAUCAAAGCAACAGGAAAAGGAAACAAAAUGAAAUGAGGAAUACAGAUAAACCUGAAGCAUGUGGAAAAACCCUUCUAGCAUUCCAAAAAUACCUAAUGAUGACAACUCAAUUGAGUUUCUAAAUGGCCAAACAGAAAGGGAAGAGUGAAAAUAUAUAUUUUUUCCGAUAAACCACCUCCCAUAUUCCACAUUCUCCAAAUAUUUAUAUUUGUGUUACGCCCAAAGCCUUGGGUAGUUACAUGUAUGUACAGAUGUCAGCACUAAACAAAUCAAACACAAAGCACCUUAAUUGUGUAUAAUAUUAGCCAAGUUUCCACUUCUACAUAGCGAAAGAAACAGCAACGCAUUGCCAUUUAGGCAACAUAGCAAAAUUCCAAGCCAGAAGAAUCAAGAAAACAAACCUGUGGAAUUAUGUGCUGCAUUGCCCACUCUGGACCAAAUUCUUCAGCAAGCCGCUUUAAAUUAUUUGCAGCAGCAUCACGAAUUGAGUAAACCUGCAUUAAAUGUCCAGGCAAGAUAGUUCAACAUGUAUGAACUUUAUACCACUAGUCCUUGAUGAAGUUGACAGAGAGUUGGAUUAGGGAUGUAACUACAGUAUUACUUGCACAAUUCACCAAUAAUCAAAAAAAUAAAAUAAAAGCUAUCCAACCUACAGAAAUGAGAUCCAUUUUAAAUUAAUAACAAACUUAUUCACUAAGGUACAUCUUCAAAAUCAAAUCCCCAGAAAAGCAGGAAUCUUCUCUUAAUCAGCUAUAUCUACACCAUAGAUCCUGUUUCAUCAGUAGUUCAGGACACCAAUAGCUUUCAGCAUUCAAGUGCAUGUUUCUAGGAGUAGAAUCUCUCUCUAAAAGCAAACUAAAAGAACAAAUGUUGAUCAUCCAACCAUAAAAGUCCAGUAUGACACUGAUGUAGAACUAAGAAGAAACUUGCAUUUUAUUACUUCUUUAGUGCAAGCUAAGAAAGCACAGACCUUAUCCUGUAACCACUGCAUGCAAAGAGCCCCAAGUUUAUCAUCAAAGAACCCAACACCCAACUGACUAGCCAACAAAGGUAUGUACUCUAUGAUCGCAAGCCGGACCCUCCAAUGUCUAUCCUCUGCAAGCUCAACAAUGGCUGGCAAUAAUGAUUGCGACAGUAGAUCAAUUCCAAUAACCUGAUUCACUUGAUCAAGCUUGCUGAUUAUGUUGAGGCGCACAUCAGGAAAUUCAUCCUUCAAAAGGGAAAGAAAAAUUGGAAGAAGCUGCUCAAUUGUAGCAUCCUUCCCCAGGACAGGAGCCAUCCCCAUUAUAACUGAAGCCAAAGCAGACCGGACAUGCUGGGAAGAAUCUGAUGAAAGUUCCUUUACACAGGGGAGAAUAUGCUGAAUAGCAAGUUCCGGAUUUAAAAUGCAGCAGAACUUGGUUACUUUGCCAGCAGCUGCUAUACGUACUUCAGCCUCAUUGUCACGAAGCAAGCGUACAUAUGCAGGAACCAAGUCAGUCCUAGUAGGUUCAGGCCCCAUAGCUUCACAAAGUUUACAUAAUUGAUUUGCAACCAUGUGGCGUACACGCCAAGAUUUGUCCUGAGAGAAGUUGACAAUAACAGGGAGAAUAUGUGCAAUACAAUCCUGGGGCUCCAACAGCUUUCCAAGAGCAGCACAACCCUCAACAGCCAAUAAACGAACAGAAUCCUGAUCAUCCUGGGUUAGAUCCUCAAAUAUUGACAUGAUGUCAGUCUUCAAAUGAGCAGGUUCAACAGUUGCAGCAAAUUUCCCUAGAUUUGAGGCUGCAGACCUUCUAACCAUGGGCAUGUCAUCUUGACAAAGUUGGCUGUAUAUUGAAUGCAAUUCUGUUUUUAACAUAUCAGAGGCACUUGGAUAGGCAAUAUGAAAUAGUCCACAUGCAGAAACUCGAGCCGUAAACCAUUCUCCAGUGGCCAGUCUCUUGACCAGAGGAAUGAACCAGUCAACCAAGUCACUCUCCUUCAUCUGGGAUCCAAUCCUACACAAGGACUCCACAGCUUUAUCUCUCACACAUGUUUCCUCCACAGUGCAAAGGGUUUCCAAAGGUGGAAGCAAAACAUGGGCAUGCUCUACUCCCCCAACAUAGGGGAUGAACACUCCCAACUCCUCUGCCAUUGUGAGAAGAACCUCAUCAUCAUCAUCAUUGUUUUCACUCAAAAAUGGAAUUAAUUCCUUCCGGGUUCGCUCCUCCCCAAGAGCACGAGCAAUUGUCGAUAGUCUACGGAUUGUUUUCAGCCUUAGCUGGAUGUCAUCAUUUUUUAGCUCAUCUAUGAGAACAGCAAUUGGAUACAGGGGCUCAUCAACCACAGACAUUGUAUCACAAAGUUCCGGUAAUAUGACACCACAACAAAUUGAAAUUCAGAAACUGCGGGUAGAAAAGAAAAGCCUCAUUAGAAAUGAUCAAACAGAUCACCCACAAUGUGAAGGUCUAAUCACUAUCUCAUUACCAUGUUGUAACACAAUCAAAUUGAUCUACCCGAUUAAAAAUUAACUUAUUUGAAUUAGAAAGCAGGUAAAUGUAAGUGCUGCUCAAAAGUUGGAUCGAACAACCACCAAAACAAAUGCUGUCAUUCAUUGUAUCCCAAGGAUCCAUAAUUCGUUUUUAGUCACAAAAUUUCUAAGCAAAUAAAAUAAAAACUCCAAGAUCUAUAACAAACCAUAUAAUUCAAAUCCUGAGGCUCGGCUAUGAAGGCAAAAGACGAAGAGACAAACACGGAUUUUCAAAUCCUAAUACUUAACGCUAUGUCUAGAUGCUGAGGAAAUGAAUGAACAUGAGGACGAAAUGAAUUGAUUGCAUAAAUAAUUAAUCCCAAAAAAAAAAAAGAGCCAACGGAGCGUGCCAGGUACAACUCCUUAGCUCUGAUGAGUCUAGUUAAAAAUUUCAACUUAUUACAAGAGAAAAUGAAAGCGCAAUGAAUAUCACAAAUGUUGAGAAAAUUAUUUCCAAUGCUUUUUCUCUGGUUUUCCAGGAAACAAAAAGAAGGAUUAAAGAUUCAAAAAUAAAGCAGCCUGCUAAGGAAAUUUAGGGGGAGGGAACCAUGUUUUCGGAAAAAUUACAUAUAACAGCGAGAAGUGUCAAGCGCUCUCACCGAUCUCAAAUUCUCAAUGCGUUCCCGCCGGCUGACUCUGACGAAGCUGAGAGAGAGAGAACCAACGAAUUUUCGCACACUUUAUAUUCAACUAUUUAGAUUAAAACCAAUGCCCUGGGCCAGUAGGAUUGGGCUUCGACUAAA